rnacentral:lncRNA from 1 species
GUCAGAAUCCUCAAGAAUAGACCAAAUAAAUGAAGUCACGAAUGAAUUUUCCAGUGGGUAUAAACAGAUGAAGAACGCAAUCUAGAAGUGGAACCUACAUGCAUUUAUUUCUUGUAUAUAAUAUAAGGAUUGGGGCUGGGGUUGUGGCUCAGUGGAAUAGUGUUCGCCUACCACGGGGCCCUGGGUUCGAUCCUCAGCACCACAUAAAAAUAAUAUAAAGGAAUUGUGUCCAACUAUAACUAAAACAUAAUAUUUUAAAAAAUAAAUGAAAGAAUAAACAUAAGUCAGUAGGGAAAUGAAUGUCAUUUCUCAUGCAUCAUAGUUGCCCAGAUUCAGUCAUGUCAAUCUACAGAAUUGACUUCCUACCUCUAUAUUGGGUAGCUUUGUUUUCUGCAAUAAUUUAAAAGCAUGUUAGAGGAGAUCUUGACCACAUGAAGGUGUUUUAACUAUAUUUAUGGCAUCUGUAUCCCAGCUCUCACAUGAGGAAAUUGACUCAACCUUGUCACGUUCUUCCUUCAUCCUUUAUCUCAAUCUCCUUUAAACUGACUUCCUUAGAUGUGAUAGAAGUCACAUUUGACAAGAUUCCAACUUCAAAUAUAAUGGAAUCAUUUCUGGAAAACAUUAACUGGUCUUUGAAGUCUUCUGGUUUUCAAUGUCUCCCCUCCCUGCUUCAUUCUUCAUACCAUCAGCACCAGCAGCACUUUAAGUAGAUACUCCUAUCAUUGAGUCCAGAUGCUAAUGUGGUGCUCAUGGUCCUCAUAUUCCUAUCAGAUCUAUCUAAAUUUAUAGUCAUUAUGGUGAAGAAGAGGCAAUACUGGUUUUAGACAACUAGUUACUCAAUUGAUUACCUAAUUAUCUUUUAUCCUCAGGCAUUUUAUAUGGUAAUGGGAAACAAACCCAGUGCCUCCCGCAUGCUAGGCAAGUGCUCUACCCCUGAGCUACAACCCCGACCCACUUUGCUAUUCUUUAAAAACACACACACACGUAUAUCAGGCCUUGUCAAGUGUUUUGGGGUGUUUUUUGAUUCCUUUUCUUUUUCCUUUCUUUUCUUUGAUAAUGGAAAUUAAACUCAACCUUGCCUUGUAUUUGUUAAGAACUCUACCUCUCAGCCAGUUUCUUUGAAAUGUGAAGUUUUACUUUUAAGACAAAUUUAGUAUAUUUGAAACUGGUAACCCAGGAUCCAAUAUAUAUACUAUACAUGUUUUUGAUAUGUUGCUCCUCCUCACUCUUCUCUAUUAUAUAGAAAUUCAUCGCAUUGUGCUGGUUUGCAUUCUGUUCUUCAACGUACCCCUUGCCAGCAAGAAUCUCUGAUUGUAUCAAGUGUCCAGUAGUAUUGAAUAUAUAUAAAGUAUGAUUCUCAUUUGUAGCAACAUUUUUUUAUGAAUUUUUUGUUUGAUUGCUUGCUUUUGUGGUACUGGGAACCGAACCCAGGGGUUCUGUAACACAGCUAUACUUUCACCCCUUUUUUAAUUUGUAUUUUUAGACUGGGUAUCUCAGAGUUUCUGUGGCCUAAAACUUAUGAUCCUCUUCCUUCAGCCUCCUGAGUGUCUGCAAUUACAGGCCUGUACCACCAUUCUUAGCUCUUUAACACUAUUUAGAUUUUAAAUUUUUAUUUCCAAGUAUGCUAUUAAGGUAUUACAACUGCAAAUAAUUUUCCUUUUCAUUACAAUAAAUAAUCCCAGCAAUUUGGAAGGCUGAGGCAGAAGGAUCACAAAUUCAAGGCCACAAAUUAGCAAGUUUCAAAAGAUUA